rnacentral:rRNA from 1 species
AGUGAACGCUGGCGGUAGGCCUAACACAUGCAAGUCGAACGGCAGCACAGUAAGAGCUUGCUCUUACGGGUGGCGAGUGGCGGACGGGUGAGGAAUACAUCGGAAUCUACUUUUUCGUGGGGGAUAACGUAGGGAAACUUACGCUAAUACCGCAUACGACCUACGGGUGAAAGCAGGGGAUCUUCGGACCUUGCGCGAUUGAAUGAGCCGAUGUCGGAUUAGCUAGUUGGCGGGGUAAAGGCCCACCAAGGCGACGAUCCGUAGCUGGUCUGAGAGGAUGACCAGCCACACUGGAACUGAGACACGGUCCAGACUCCUACGGGAGGCAGCAGUGGGGAAUAUUGGACAAUGGGCGCAAGCCUGAUCCAGCCAUACCGCGUGGGUGAAGAAGGCCUUCGGGUUGUAAAGCCAUUUUGUUGGGAAAGAAAAGCAGCAGGUUAAUACCCCGCUGUUCUGACGGUACCCAAAGAAUAAGCACCGGCUAACUUCGUG